GCCUGGCUAGCUCAGUUGGCAGAAUGUCAGACUUUCAAUCUGAGGGUUCAGGGUUCAAAUCCCGAGUCAGGUG